AACGGAUUUCCUCCUUGCUGUUCUCACGCUAGUGAGUGAGUUCUCACGAGAUCCGAGCAUUUAAUAGUGUGUGGCUCCUCCUGCUUCGCUCUCCUGCUGCCAUAGGAAGGUGUGCUUGCUACUCCUUUGCCUUCUGCCAUGAUUGUGAGUUUCCUGAGACCUCCUAGUCAUGCUUCCUGUUCAGCCUGCAGAACUCUUCCAGUAAACUUUUAAAAUGAAAAAGAAGGCAAGAUUAAAUAAUCUCAACUAUGUGACUGCUUAAAUGGGGAAUGAAAUCAAUUCUUCACAUCUAUGGAAAAACAAGUGAGCCAGGGUUGUGAUUCCAACUGGAUAAAGAAUGAACGUGGAAUUAUUAAUGUGAUGUAACAGAGGAAGAAAUAAGUUUAAUUGAUCAAGUAUUUGCUCAGUAUGUACUAGGAGCCUGGAAAUUGAAGAGUUUUAUCUCUUGGAAUUCCUUAAGAAAAACCUUGGCUUAAUAAUUUAAAUGUUUUCAUGUCUGAAGCAGGAAAAUGAAUUAGCUAUUACAGGUGCAUUCUUGUUCUUUGAUGCUUACUUGUUAGGACAUAGGCCACCCUUCACUGCUAGUAAUGUGUUCUUAGACAGAAUUAAAAUUGAGCCCACAUCACAUUCUCACAGCCAAACUUGUAAAUCUAUCCUUUAAAGCUCAAAUUUCUGUUUUGAUUAGAUGCAAAACAUUCAGAUGAUUUAUGAUUGUUUAAUUAAAAGAAAUCAGUGAAAUAAAAACAAAUUAAACUGUUUUAAUUGCUUUUGGGUUCAAUUAAUCAACUAUUGCCUACUUGAUGUAUCUACCAACAUUAACACAAGGAAAUAUAUUCAUUAGUUUCAUUCACUUGCUAUUGAAAUGAGACUUUAUUAUUUCUCAUUGAUCUCCUGCCAGGAUGGCGAUAUUUUACUCUUCAACAAUGUACACUGAUAUCAAAGUUGGGAAAAGGUUUCUAUCCUGAAUGUUUGAAAAUGAACCAAUUAACUACACGACCCUAAACCUUUCAGAAUUUUUUCCCCAUUCUAUUAAAAAAAAAAUCAUACAAAGGUUACCCAUGUAUAAUCUUAGUUCUUCAAACUGGUUAUUGCAACUAACACAGUAUACAUUAUUCUCCAUCACUGUGGAAAUACAGAGUACCUCAAGAGAGUCUCCUACCCAGCAGCCUAAAGGUUCUUCUACACAUUUUGAAAAGGCUACCAAGAUAAGAACAAAGAAUAAAAUUAGGUAAUUUACAAAGGAGGUAUACAGAAUCUAAAUAGAUACUACCAUGGUAACUUACAGUUGGGUGAUGCUGGUGGGUUAUCUUACAGCUCUUAGAGAGUUUUUUUCUUUCAGGGAGUCUGGCCUAUGAUGUGACAUAGGAUGGCCCACAAUCAACUGAUUCAAAAAUAGAGGGUCUCUGUUUCUAUCAGUGCAGGAUGUUUGCUAUGUCACACAUCAUUCUCACUUCUUUACUCAUGUCAAAAAUCAUUAGUGUGUCUCUGCAGAAGUUAGACUGUACCAUCUUAUAACCUGGUAGGAAGAGGGACCCCUUCUAUUUAUAGUCUCUUUAAAUACAGACUUCAAGAGGGAAAAUGGCAAGGUAGGAAUUUUCAGAGAUUCAUCCUUCUGCUAAAACGACGAUUACGCUGGAAAAAAAAUAAUUGCAACCAACUAUUUUGGAAUGCUGGAACUUGGUAAGAUACUUACAGUGACU
rnacentral:lncRNA from 1 species